rnacentral:rRNA from 1 species
CAAUAGCGUAUAUUUAAGUUGUUGCAGUUAAAGCUCGUAGUUGGAUUUCGGUUGAGAACGGCCGGUCCGCCGUUUGGUGUGCACUGGCUGGUCUCAACUUCCUGUAGAGGACGCGCUCUGGGUUAACGCUCGGACGCGGAGUCGGCGCUGUUACUUUGAAAAUUAGAGUGUUCAAAGCAGGCAACCGCUCUGAAUACAUUAGCAUGGAAUAACGCUAUAGGACUCUGGUCCUAUUGUGUUGGUCUUCGGGACCGGAGUAAUGAUUAAGAGGGACAGUUGGGGCAUUCGUAUUUCAUUGUCAGAGGUGAAAUUCUUGGAUUUAUGAAAGACGAACUUCUGCGAAAGCAUUUGC